UCUCCUCACAGCCAGGCCUAAUACCGAACUUAUCACAGCCAAAGAAAUCUGGAAAUUUCAACAAGAUUGGACAAGGUAAAAUGCAACUGGUCCAGACAUGCAAAGAAACACCUCCUCAGACAUCAUGCUCAGUGAAUACAGAAUGGCUAAUUGGGAUUUAGAGAAGAAGAGGGACCGGGACUCCCCCACCAUGAUUCAAGAUGGACUGAAGGGGAACGCCUCAAGACCUAAGGUUGAGGAGGACCGGACCAACACAGCUACAAAAUACAUCCCUGAAACAUGGAAAAUGAUUAAUUUUAGCUGAUUUUGGAUUUAAGCUUCAUUGCUGAACAACAAGAAAAAUUUCUACACCUCCCUGCCUUUCUGCCAUCUGACAUCACCAGGGAAGGAAUCCUGCCUGAUCUGCACAUCAAAGGGCUACUCACAAAGACACUUGCAUGGACCCAGAGGAACAGACUUCCACCUUCAGCAUCCUCUGUGCAAAAAUGAAGUUUAUUUUCUACCUAUGGGAACUUUUUACCAUUUUUAAUUUUCCUGAGCCUGAGGAAGGGCAUGUGUGCCCACAAGCUUGCAGAAAAAGAUAAUUUUUUGGUGAUUUCUUAGGUGGUCUAAUAAAAGGUAUUAUCUCUGAA